GACGAACGCUGGCGGCGUGCUUAACACAUGCAAGUCGAACGGAAAGGCCCGGCUCUUGUGGCGCUCUCGAGUGGCGAACGGGUGAGUAACACGCGAGUAACCUGCCCUUGUCUUUGGGAGAACUUCAGGAAACUCGGGCGAAUAUCGGAGAGGAUCUCCUGCUGCAUGGGGUGGGUUGGAAAGAUUCGGCGGUUGGGGAUGGUCUCGCGGCUUAUGAGCCUGUUUGUGGGGUUGUGGCUUACCAAGGUUUUGACGGGUAGCCGGCCUGAGAGGGUGACCGGCCACAUUGGGACUGCGAUACGGCCCAGACUCCUACGGGCGGCAGCAGUGGAGAAUAUUGCACAGUGGGCGGAAGCCUGAUGCAGCAACGCCGCGUGCGGGAUGACGUGCUUCGGGUUGUAAACCGCUUUCGCCUGUGCCGAGGCGUGAUUGACGGUAAUGGGUAAAGAAGCCCCGGCUAACUACGUG
rnacentral:rRNA from 1 species